AAUUCAGUGAAUCAUCGAAUCUUUGAACGCACCUUGCGCCCCUUGGUUAUUCCUCAGGGCAUGCCUGUUUGAGUAUCAUGAACACCUCAACUCUCAUGGUCUUCCAUGACGAGCUUGGACUUUGGGGGUUUGCUGGCCCUGUGGCCGGCUCCUCUCAAACAAAUCANCUUGCCAGUGUUUGGCGGCGUCACGGGUGUGAUAACUAUCUACGCUCGCGGUCGUCUGCCAGGUAACCCUCANCGAUGAANGUUCAUUGGGGCUCAUAAACGUCUCUCCCCAGCNANGACAACUUUUUAACGUUCGAUCUCAAAUCAGGUAGGACUACCCGCUGAACUUAAGCAUAUCAAUAAC
rnacentral:rRNA from 1 species